AAUAAAAAGUAGCCUAGUAGAUAAAACGGGCCGGGCCCAAAAAUGAUUCCAUCAAAAAUUCAAUCUCGCUUCUCCCCCAAUUUCUUCUCCUCCAAGAAUUUCUCCUUCGUCCAAAACCCUUGAAAUCGAAUUGGUUCUGAUAAUCACGUCACGAGUCAAUCUUUUUGUGAUCACGAAUUAAUCGUAUCGGAAAGAAAUAUGGCGUUGACGAAUUUCAUACUGACUGUGGCCGGAGUGAGCGCCGUCGUGUUGCUGCUGCGGAGUGAUGUGAAGCAAUCCGCCACCAUCUUCCGCCGCAACGUCCGCCAAAUCCGCAACUGGCUCGAGGAGGAAUCCGCCUCCGCCGCUAAGGAGAUAGAGAAGAAGGCGAAACCCAAGGAAAUUUCAGACAAGGAUACCCCCAAGAAAGACUAAGCACUAGGUUCAAUGUAUGCUAGUGAAGGCAUGUGGUUGAUUCUUAUUUUAUUUUAUAUUUCGUUGUAGUUUCAUGUGAAAUUUUGAUAAAUCUUAUGUAGUUUGAUGUGAAAUCUCAAUAAAUCUUAUGUAGUUUGGUGUGAAAUCUCAAUAAAUCUUUAUGCAGGUCUCCAAAAUGAAUAUGAUCUGUUUAAAAGAAACCUUUGAUCUGGUUCUUGCAUACUGUUGCUUAAUAUUUUUUUUUCCUGAGAAUCUCUGGCAGGGGAAGUGGAGAUUUGGUGUUGAGAAAUGCAAUCUUGUAACUAGUACCUCUUUUUUCCAAGUUGGUUGAGUUUUGGUGUUUUAAAAUUAGAUUUGCUGAUGGACUAUGACUUCAUUCAUGGAACUACCAGAAUAUAAGUUUUUGUUAUGUAAUUGAAGGUCUGGUGGGGCAGCAAACAGUUCAUCAUAUUCUCUCUGUCCAUCAAAAUAAUGGUGUAAUUUGGAAAAUACAGGUUUUAAUAAAUAAUUGUGAAAAUGUGUAUGAA